AACGAACGCUGGCGGCAGGCCUAACACAUGCAAGUCGAACGCUCUCUUCGGAGGGAGUGGCGCACGGGUGAGUAACGCGUGGGAACCUACCCAGUAGUACGGAACAACAGUUGGAAACGACUGCUAAUACCGUAUACGCCCUUCGGGGGAAAGAUUUAUCGCUAUUGGAGGGGCCCGCGUUGGAUUAGCUUGUUGGUGAGGUAACGGCUCACCAAGGCGACGAUCCAUAGCUGGUCUGAGAGGAUGAUCAGCCACACUGGGACUUAGACACGGCCCAGACUCCUACGGGAGGCAGCAGUGGGGAAUAUUGCACAAUGGGCGCAAGCCUGAUGCAGCCAUGCCGCGUGAGUGAAGAAGGCCCUAGGGUUGUAAAGCUCUUUCGGCGGGGACGAUAAUGACGGUACCCGCAGAAGAAGCCCCGGCUAACUCCGUG
rnacentral:rRNA from 1 species